rnacentral:rRNA from 1 species
CAGUAGCCGCGGUAAUACAGAGGGAGCUAGCGUUGUUCGGAAUUACUGGGCGUAAAGCGCACGUAGGCGGCUAUUCAAGUCAGGGGUGAAAGCCCGGGGCUCAACCCCGGAACUGCCUUUGAAACUAGAUAGCUUGAAUCUUGGAGAGGCGAGUGGAAUUCCGAGUGUAGAGGUGAAAUUCGUAGAUAUUCGGAAGAACACCAGUGGCGAAGGCGACUCGCUGGACAAGUAUUGACGCUGAGGUGCGAAAGCGUGGGGAGCAAACAGGAUUAGAUACCCCAGUAGUCCCUGUCUCUUAUAC